GACGAACGCUGGCGGCGCGCUUAACACAUGCAAGUCGAACGGAAAGGCCUGCUUUCCCUUGUGGAUUGCGGGUACUCGAGUGGCGAACGGGUGAGUAACACGUGAGUGAUCUGCCCCCAACUUGGGUAUAAGCCUGGGAAACUGGGUCUAAUUCCCGAUAGGACUGCAGGGUGGUGCCUGUGGUGGAAAACGAUUUUCUAGUGGUUGGGGAUGAGCUCGCGGCCUAUCAGCUUGUUGGUGGGGUAAUGGCCUACCAAGGCGGCGACGGGUAGCCGGCCUGGGUGGGUGGACGGCCACAGUGGGACUGAGAUACGGCCCAGACUCCUACGGGAGGCAGCAGUGGGGAAUAUUGCACAAUGGGCGGAAGCCUGAUGCAGCGACGCCGCGUGGGGGAUGACGGCCUUCGGGUUGUAAACUCCUUUCGACCGCGAGGAAGCCACCUGGUUGGAAGGGUGGCGACGGUAGUGGUAGAAGAAGCACCGGCUAACUACGUG
rnacentral:rRNA from 1 species